UGACGAGUGGCGGACGGGUGAGUAAAGUAUGGGGAUCUGCCUGAUGAGGGGGAUAACCACUGGAAACGGUGGCUAAUACCGCAUAAUCUCGCGAGAGCAAAGGUGGGGGACCUUCGGGCCUCAUGCCAUCGGAUGAACCCAUACGGGAUUAGCUGGAAGGUGAGGUAAUGGCUCACCUUGGCGACGAUCCCUAGCUGGUCUGAGAGGAUGACCAGCCACACUGGGACUGAGACACGGCCCAG
rnacentral:rRNA from 1 species